rnacentral:rRNA from 1 species
UACGUAGGGACCGAGCGUUGUCCGGAUUCAUUGGGCGUAAAGAGCUCGUAGGCGGCCACUCAAGUCGAAUGUGAAACCUCGAGGCUUAACCUCGAGCCUGCAUUCGAUACUGGGCGGCUAGAGUCUGGUAGGGGGAUCUGGAAUUCCUGGUGUAGCGGUGGAAUGCGCAGAUAUCAGGAAGAACACCAACGGCGAAGGCAGCUCGCUGGGACGGUACUGACGCUGAGACGCGAAAGCGUGGGGAGCGAACAGG